rnacentral:other from 1 species
CGGUCUCUGUGAUAUUUGCUUGCAGGUUCAUUAUUUUUGAAUCUAUAUCAACUAGUAUCGGGAUGCUAAUAGAGUUUAUUGUGUGCUAUGUCUACCUCUGAGUAGAAAGCCUAAUGUAGACCGGCGCCUCCCACUUGAACCAAAUUCGGUUCAAAUAAGAACUUGCGGCGGUAUCAUGGAGCAAUA